CUUAAGCAUAUCAAUAAGCGGAGGAAAAGAAACCAACAGGGAUUGCCCUAGUAACGGCGAGUGAAGCGGCAACAGCUCAAAUUUGAAAUCUGGCGCAAGCCCGAGUUGUAAUUUGCAGAGGAUGCUUCUAGGUAGCGACCGGUCUAAGUUCCUUGGAACAGGACGUCAUAGAGGGUGAGAAUCCCGUAUGUGACCGGCCCGCACCUUCUACGUAGCUCCUUCGACGAGUCGAGUUGUUUGGGAAUGCAGCUCUAAAUGGGAGGUAAAUUUCUUCUAAAGCUAAAUACCGGCCAGAGACCGAUAGCGCACAAGUAGAGUGAUCGAAAGAUGAAAAGCACUUUGGAAAGAGAGUUAAAAAGCACGUGAAAUUGUUGAAAGGGAAGCGCUCACAACCAGACUUCUGGGCGGUGUUCCGCCGGUCUUCUGACCGGUCUACUCGCCGUCCCGAGGCCAACAUCAUCUGGGACCGCCGGAUAAGACCUCAGGAAUGUAGCUUCCCUCGGGGAGUGUUAUAGCCUGUGGUGAUGCGGCGCGUCUCGGGUGAGGUCCGCGCUUCGGCAAGGAUGUUGGCGUAAUGGUUGUCAGCGGCCCGUCUUGAAACACGGACCAAGGAGUCUAACAUCUAUGCGAGUGUUCGGGUGUCAAACCCCUACGCGUAAUGAAAGUGAACGGAGGUGGGAAGCGCAAGCUGCACCAUCGACCGAUCCUGAUGUCCUCGGAUGGAUUUGAGUAAGAGCAUAGCUGUUGGGACCCGAAAGAUGGUGAACUAUGCCUGAAUAGGGUGAAGCCAGAGGAAACUCUGGUGGAGGCUCGCAGCGGUUCUGACGUGCAAAUCGAUCGUCAAAUUUGGGUAUAGGGGCGAAAGACUAAUCGAACCAU
rnacentral:rRNA from 1 species